UACGACGGGGACUAGCGUUGUUCGGAAUUACUGGGCGUAAAGCGCACGUAGGCGGAUAGACAAGUUGGGGGUGAAAUCCCGGGGCUCAACCUCGGAACUGCCUUCAAAACUGUCUGUCUAGAGGUCAGGAGAGGUUAGCGGAGUACCGAGUGUAGAGGUGAAAUUCGUAGAUAUUCGGUGGAACACCAGUGGCGAAGGCGGCUAACUGGACUGAUACUGACGCUGAGGUGCGAAAGUGUGGGGAGCAAACAGG
rnacentral:rRNA from 1 species